GAAUUGACGGGGGCCCCCACAAGCGGUGGAGCAUGUGGUUUAAUUUGAAGCAACGCGAAGAACCUUACCAGGUCUUGACAUCUUUUGACAACUCUAGAGAUAGAGCGUUCCCCUUCGGGGGACAGAGUGACAGGUGGUGCAUGGUUGUCGUCAGCUCGUGUCGUGAGAUGUUGGGUUAAGUCCCGCAACGAGCGCAACCCUUGAUCUUAGUUGCCAGCAUUUAGUUGGGCACUUUAAGGUGACUGCCGGUGACAAACCGGAGGAAGGUGGGGAUGACGUCAAAUCAUCAUGCCCCUUAUGACCUGGGCUACACACGUGUUACAAUGGAUGGUACAAAGGGCUGCAAGACCGCGAGGUCAAGCCAAUCCCAUAAAACCAUUUUCAGUUCGGAUUGUAGGCUGCAACUCGCCUACAUGAAGCUGGAAUCGUUAGUAAUCGCGGAUCAGCAUGCCGCGGUGAAUACGUUCCCGGGCCUUGUACACACCGCCCGUCACACCACGAGAGUUUGUAACACCCGAAGUCGGUGGAGUAACCGUAAGGAGCUAGCCGC
rnacentral:rRNA from 1 species